UACGUAGGUGGCAAGCGUUGUCCGGAUUUAUUGGGCGUAAAGCGCGCGCAGGUGGUGCGGUAAGUCUGCCGUGAAAUCUCCCGGCUCAACUGGGAGGGGCGGUGGAGACUGCCGGACUGGAGGGACUCAGAGGCCGGUGGAAUUCCCGGUGUAGUGGUGAAAUGCGUAGAGAUCGGGAGGAACACCAGUGGCGAAGGCGGCCGGCUGGGGGUGCCCUGACGCUGAGGCGCGAAAGCGUGGGGAGCGAACCGGG
rnacentral:rRNA from 1 species